rnacentral:rRNA from 1 species
GACGAACGCUGGCGGCGUGCUUAACACAUGCAAGUCGAACGGAGUGGCGAACGGGUGAGUAACACGUGGGUGAUCUGCCUUGCACUUCGGGAUAAGCUUGGGAAACUGGGUCUAAUACCGGAUAGUGCAAGAUGAGCUCGCGGCCUAUCAGAUUGUUGGUGGGGUAAUGGCCUACCAAGGCGUCGACGGGUAGCCGGCCUGGGAGGGUGUACGGCCACAAUGUGACUGAGGUACGGACCAGACUCCUACGGGAGGCAGCAGUGGGGAAUAUUGCACAAUGAGCGGAAGCCUGUUGCGGCGACGCCGGGUGGGGAAUGAAGGCCUUCGGGUUGUAAACUCCUUUCGGCAGGGACGCGUUACCUGUAUAAGAAGCACCGGCUAACUACGUGCCAGCAGCCGCGGUAAUUC